rnacentral:rRNA from 1 species
UACGGAGGGGGCUAGCGUUGUUCGGAAUUACUGGGCGUAAAGCGCACGUAGGCGGCUUUGUAAGUUAGAGGUGAAAGCCCGAGGCUCAACUCCGGAAUUGCCUUUAAGACUGCAUCGCUAGAAUUGUGGAGAGGUAAGUGGAAUUCCGAGUGUAGAGGUGAAAUUCGUAGAUAUUCGGAAGAACACCAGUGGCGAAGGCGACUUCCUGGUCUGCGACUGACGCUGUGGCGCGAAAGCGUGGGGAGCAAACAGG